AGUGAACGCUGGCGGUAGGCCUAACACAUGCAAGUCGAACGGCAGCACAGUAAGAGCUUGCUCUUACGGGUGGCGAGUGGCGGACGGGUGAGGAAUACAUCGGAAUCUACUUUUUCGUGGGGGAUAACGUAGGGAAACUUACGCUAAUACCGCAUACGACCUACGGGUGAAAGCAGGGGAUCUUCGGACCUUGCGCGAUUGAAUGAGCCGAUGUCGGAUUAGCUAGUUGGCGGGGUAAAGACCCACCAAGGCGACGAUCCGUAGCUGGUCUGAGAGGAUGAUCAGCCACACUGGAACUGAGACACGGUCCAGACUCCUACGGGAGGCAGCAGUGGGGAAUAUUGGACAAUGGGCGCAAGCCUGAUCUAGCCAUACCGCGUGGGUGAAGAAGGCCUUCGGGUUGUAAAGCCCUUUUGUUGGGAAAGAAAAGCAGCAGGUUAAUACCCCGCUGUUCUGACGGUACCCAAAGAAUAAGCACCGGCUAACUUCGUG
rnacentral:rRNA from 1 species